rnacentral:rRNA from 1 species
GAUGAACGCUGGCGGCGUGCCUAAUACAUGCAAGUCGAGCGAACAGACGAGGAUCUUGCUCCUCUGACGUUAGCGGCGGACGGGUGAGUAAUACGUGGCUAACCUACCUAUAAGACUGGGAUAACUUCGGGAAACCGGAUCUAAUACCGGAUAAUAUAUAGAACGGCAUGGUUCAAUAGUGAAAGCCGGUUUUGCUGUGACUUAUAGAUGGAUCCGCGCCGCAUUAGCUAGUUGGUAAGGUAACGGCUUACCAAGGCGACGAUGCGUAGCCGACCUGAGAGGGUGAUCAGCCACACUGGAACUGAGACACGGUCCAGACUCCUACGGGAGGCAGCAGUAGGGAAUAUUCCGCAAUGGGCGAAAGCCUGACGGAGCAACGCCGCGUGAGUGAUGAAGGUCUUCGGAUCGUAAAGCUCUGUUAUUAGGGAAGAACAAAUGUGUAAGUAACUAUGCACGUCUUGACGGUACCUAAUCAGAAAGCCACGGCUAACUACGUG